GGACGCUACCAAAGGUUAGCCUCUGAUGUUCACUGUAAUGGGUAUGGACGCUACCAAAGGUUACCCUCUGAUGUUCACUGUAAUGGGUACAGACGCUACCAAAGGUUAGCCUCUGAUGUUCACUGUAAUGGGUACGGACGCUACCAAAGGUUAGCCUCUGAUGUUCACUGUAAUGGG